CGUCGCGUCGUGGAGACCUGGAGCCACAUUUUUUGUUUGUGCAUGCCAAAGUGCUAUGCGUAUUUAUGCAUUUACAUUACAUAGCUACAUAGAUUUUUGAUUCUCUCGAUGGAAGAAUUGCAGAAUAUUUCUCAAUACCAAUAUUUGCUUUGUCUAUUUGAUGAUAUUUUAUAUUAUAUAAAUAUCAUGGGCUCUUGCUGAGUUUGACAAGGUGGGACAAGGGGGGACGGGGGUCUAUGGUAACGUGACUUUCGCCAUUCAUUAAAACAUUUUUUAUUAGUAUUUCUUUUGACUAUUUUUUUAUUUUGCUGCUGCAGCUGGCAGUUACCCGUUGAUAUUUAUUUUCCUUGGAUGACGUCGUUCUCGGUCGCAAGUACCGCUUAUCACGACACUAUGAAAAAGGGUGUGGCCUGCGCACGUGUAUGUUGAUGGUCUGAUUUCGAUUCGAUCGUCAACGUCGUCGAUGAUGAGGAUGCGCAACGUUAAUGUGGUUGUUGUUGCGCUCGUGCCCAAAAAUCUGCUGGACGAAGAAUAAUUUCUUGUUAGCGCCGCCGUUGCUCUGCACAUAUGGUUGAUGUGCAAUAGAAUUUUCACUUAGUGAUGAUGUUUUUGGGUGUCCCGCUCCCGAAUUGCAUUGUAGUGUAUAUACACACAUAUAAUCUUAGCAUUUUCAGCUAUGUAUGUGGCUGGCUUUGCACUGGGCUUCUGAGUUGAAAUUCCUGAAAUUCCAUAUCAUUCGAUUCAUUCGUAAACAGUCGCGCGUGCGUUAAUAUAUUGUUUUUGUCAAGUGGUGUAAAAAUAAAAAUUUCAACAAAAAGGAAAUUAAUUGUUCAUUUAACUAUUUUUGAUAUCCGGCCUUGCAUAGGAAAUUUUUAAAAAAAUUUUAAAAUGACGUCAAAUGCUGGGUCAAGUGACCAGCCAGAUAUAAAUGAACUGGCAACUGACAAUUUUAACCAAAACACAAAAAAUGUGUAUGAUUUACUCAGUCUCUGGGGACUUGAUACCUUAUAUAAUCACUUUCUUUCUUUUAAUAUCACAGAUUUGGAAUCCUUAAGGUUACUGAAUGAAAGUGAUUUGAUAACACUAUUUCCAACAGAUGUGGGCAACCGGGCCAAAUUGCGUUCUAAAAUAGAAGAUUGGCGAAACAGUGUAAAUAUGUAAUAUAAUAAAACUGUAAUGUAAAUAAUAAAACUAUCAUGUAAAUAAUAAAACUUGGAGUAAAAAAAAUAAUAAAAAUAGUAUAAUAUAUUUUAAUUUUAAGUUUCUAAAUUUGUAUUUUUAGAAAUAAGUUAAAAACAAUAAAAAAUAAAGAAUUCUUUCAAAUGUGUCGUUCUUUUAUAUAUUAUUGAUUUUUUAAAUUAUUAUUCUCUAGUACAAACAAAAUACAAUGGUACGGAAAUGAAAAAUAAGUAAAGGUGUGGAUUUUCUUAUUGCAUUACUACUGACAGAAAUUAUUUUCAGUUUCCUUCAUAAAGAUAAAGAUAAGAGUUUUCGUUCACAACUAAGAAGAGUAAAACCACUCAAUUUUUUAACUACCAUUAAACUUCAAAAGAUAAGACUACACUCUUGAAUUCAAAAAUAAAUAUGAUAUAUUUGUGAAUUAAGAACGAUAGUUUUUAAAUUAAUAAGAAAUAUUCUUAAAUUGCGACGAAAAUGCUGA